rnacentral:rRNA from 1 species
AUUGAACGCUGGCGGCAGGCCUAACACAUGCAAGUCGAGCGGAUGAAGGGAGCUUGCUCCUGGAUUCAGCGGCGGACGGGUGAGUAAUGCCUAGGAAUCUGCCUGGUAGUGGGGGAUAACGUCCGGAAACGGGCGCUAAUACCGCAUACGUCCUGAGGGAGAAAGUGGGGGAUCUUCGGACCUCACGCUAUCAGAUGAGCCUAGGUCGGAUUAGCUAGUUGGUGGGGUAAAGGCCUACCAAGGCGACGAUCCGUAACUGGUCUGAGAGGAUGAUCAGUCAAACUGGAAAGGAAAAGGGGCCAAGACUCCUACGGGAGGAGGAAGGGGGGAAUGUUGAACAAGGGGGGAAAGCUUGAACAAGCAAUGCGGGGGGGGAGAAGAGGGUAUGGGGAUUGUAAAGAAUUUUAGGUGGGGAGAAAGGGCAGUAAGUUAAUAAUUUGCUGUUUUGACGUGACAAAAAAAAGAAGCACCGGAAAACUUGGUG